CCUACGGGAGGCUGCAGUAGGGAAUCUUCGGCAAUGGACGAAAGUCUGAACGAGCAACGCCGCGUGAGUGAAGAAGGUUUUCGGAUCGUAAAACCCUGUUGGUAGAGAAGAACGUUGGUGAGAGUGGAAAGCUCAUCAAGUGACGGUAACUACCCAGAAAGCGACGGCUAACUACGUGCCAGCAGACGCGGUAAUAAGUAGGUCCCGAGCGUUGUCCGGAGUUAUUGGGCGUAAAGCGAGCGCAGCUGGUUUAUUAAGUCAGGUGUAAGAGGCAGUGUCUAAACCAUUGUAUGCAUUGGAAACUGGUAGACUUGAGUGCAGGAGAGGCGAGUGGAAUUCCAUGUGUAGCGGUGAAAUGCGUAGGUAUAUGGAGGAACACCGGAGGCGAAAGCGGCUCUCUGGCCUGUAACUGACACUGAGGCUCGAAAGCGUGGGGAGCAAACAGGAUUAGAUACCCGUGUAGUC
rnacentral:rRNA from 1 species